UGGGGAAUAUUGCACAAUGGAGGGAACUCUGAUGCAGCGACGCCGCGUGAACGAAGAAGGCUUUCGAGUCGUAAAGUUCUUUUAUAUGGGAAGAUAAUGACGGUACCAUAAGAAAAAGCCCCGGCUAACUACGUGUCAGCAGCCGCGGUAAUACGUAGGGGGCUAGCGUUGUCCGGAAUCACUGGGCGUAAAGGGUUCGCAGGCGGAAAUGCAAGUCAGGUGUAAAAGGCAGUAGCUUAACUACUGUAAGCAUUUGAAACUGCAUAUCUUGAGAAGAGUAGAGGUAAGUGGAAUUUUUAGUGUAGCGGUGAAAUGCGUAGAUAUUAAAAAGAAUACCGGUGGCGAAGGCGACUUACUGGGCUCAUUCUGACGCUGAGGAACGAAAGCGUGGGUAGCAAACAGG
rnacentral:rRNA from 1 species